AUGCAGAUCAGGAUGGAAAUGUGAUCAAAGUCGAAACGAUGUUUCAAAAAGGUGAGGUGGUAAGCAUUUUGGCCGUAAAGGGCGCCUGAAAGAAAUGAAAAAUUA
rnacentral:misc_RNA from 1 species